rnacentral:snRNA from 1 species
GGAUGGAGGGCUAUCUGGCUGCGACAUCUGCCACAGGAAACUGAUCGGGAGUUGAUUCAGCUGAUCUGGCUGGCUAGGCCGGUGUCCCCUCCUCCCCACCGAUCCAUGUGAGUCCCUCGUGAAGCUGCGCUCGGUGGAAGAGGACGUCCUUCCCCCCAGAGGAGAGGACCAGUCUUCGUCAACGGUAAGGAGUAGCUGCGCUCCCCGCUAGAACCUCCCAACAACUCUCAAGAAGCAUGUGUCUUUCUUUUUACUUUUUAUCCAAUCCCAGAUAUCCCUCCCCACCCCCACCCCCUUUACUUUCU